rnacentral:rRNA from 1 species
AGCAGCCGCGGUAAUUCCAGCUCCAAUAGCGUAUAUUAAAGUUGUUGCAGUUAAAAAGCUCGUAGUUGAAUUUCGGGAUCAAUUAAUUAGUCGUGCCUCUGGUACGUACUGGUUUUAUUGGUUUCUCCCUUCUGACGAACCAUGAUGUCAUUAAUUUGGUGUCGUGGAGAAUCAGGACUGUUACUUUGAAAAAUUAGAGUGUUUAAAGCAAGCUAACGCUUGAAUACAUUAGCAUGGAAUAAUGAAAUAGGACGUUUGAUCCCAUUUUGUGGUUUCUAGGAUCGACGUAAUGAUUAAUAGGGAUAGUUGGGGGCAUUAGUAUUCAAUUGUCAGAGGUGAAAUUCUUGGAUUUAUUG